rnacentral:rRNA from 1 species
ACGCUCGACACCUACGGGAGGAGCAGUGGGGAAUAUUGCACAAUGGGGGAAACCCUGAUGCAGCGACGCCGCGUGAGCGAAGAAGUAUUUCGGUAUGUAAAGCUCUAUCAGCAGGGAAGAAACUGACGGUACCUGACUAAGAAGCACCGGCUAAAUACGUGCCAGCAGCCGCGGUAAUCUGAGCGGGCUGGCAAGGC